rnacentral:SRP_RNA from 1 species
GCCGGGCGCGGUGGCGCGUGCCUGUAGUCCCAGCUACUCGGGAGGCUGAGGCUUGAGGAUCCCUUGAGUUCAGGAGUUCUGGGCUGUAGUGCGCUAUGCCGAUCGGGUGUCCGCACUAAGUUCGGCAUCAAUAUGGUGACCUCCCGGGAGCGGGGGACCACCAGGUUGCCUAAGGAGGGGUGAACCGGCCCAGGUCGGAAACGGAGCAGGUCAAAACUCCCGUGCUGAUCAGUAGUGGGAUCGCGCCUGUGAAUAGCCACUGCACUCCAGCCUGGGUAACAUAGUGAGACCCUGCCUCU